CCUUGAUUCUAUAUGCUUUCUCAGUCUCUUUACUGUGUCCUCCCUCCCUGCGUCUGUGCAUGGUCGUGCACUUGUUUGUGUCUCCUCUCUGUGUUCGUGUCCUCUGCAGCUCCUGCAGCACGGCAGCAAGUACGGCAGUGCUGUGGGAGCCUGACCUGCUCCAGGUGAUGGAGGCGGUGGAGAGGAGGGGGGUGAAGGAGCUCAGCGAGGAGGCAGCACAGGCCCUCAGGAUGCUCCUCACACAGAUCCUGAUCAGUGUCCUGCAGCCGCCGCUCACAGAGCAGCACGAGCAGAGAGUGAGGGGGAUGAUGGAGUCUCUUGGCCUUCACACGCCAGCCGAGAGCCGCAGCUCCAGUCUGCAAAGCAACGUCUUGCUCGUUGGAGAUGUGUCCAUCUGUCUGUCUGACUUUACAGUCAAAACAGGCUGAUGUCCCGGCAAACUGAUAUUAUUACGGCUAAUAUCAUCACACCAUCAAUUUGUUUCAUUGUUUAUUUAUUGCUACAUGUCCUGUAGACAUAGUGUGUGUUCCGUUCUGCUCUUAAAGCAGCAGAUGCUCCUGCUUACAUUUCAGUGUUACAGCAAAAUAAUUGACUUGUGUAUUUUAAAAAGGAGUUUAUAUUUUCAAGCAGUGUUAAAGAAAAGUUGGUUAAACGAUGAUCUUUAGAUAUUAAAAGAUCAAAAAC
rnacentral:lncRNA from 1 species